AUUGAACGCUGGCGGCAGGCCUAACACAUGCAAGUCGAACGAGUGGCGGACGGGUGAGUAAUGUCUGGGAAACUGCCUGAUGGAGGGGGAUAACUACUGGAAACGGUAGCUAAUACCGCAUACCAUCGGAUGUGCCCAGAUGGGAUUAGCUAGUAGGUGGGGUAAAGGCUCACCUAGGCGACGAUCCCUAGCUGGUCUGAGAGGAUGACCCGCCACACUGGAACUGAGACACGGUCCAGACGCCUACGGGAGGCAGCAGUGGGGAAGAUUGCCAAAGGGGCGAACGCCUGAUGCAGCCAUGCCGGGGGUUUGAAGAAGGCCUUCGGGUUGUAAAGUUCUUUCAGUGGGGAGGCGGUAACCGCAGAAGAAGCACCGGCUAACUCCGUGCCAGCAGCCGCGGUAAUUC
rnacentral:rRNA from 1 species